UAGGGAAUCUUCCACAAUGGACGCAAGUCUGAUGGAGCAACGCCGCGUGAGUGAAGAAGGUCUUCGAAUCGUAAAACUCUGUUGUUAGAGAAGAACACGAGUGAGAGUAACUGUUCAUUCGAUGACGGUAUCUAACCAGCAAGUCACGGCUAACUACGUGCCAG
rnacentral:rRNA from 1 species